AAAGUCGUAACAAGGUUUCCGUAGGUGAACCUGCGGAAGGAUCAUUACAAAUCCACAAGUCUCCCACCCUAACCCGGUCGAUGACAACGUUGCAUCCCUCCUUGCGCGCGCGCGCCCGCGUGCGCGCGCCCUAAUUGACACACCUUUGCCGAUAUGAACCACCACGAACGUACCAACAACAACAACAACCUAGAAACAACUUAUAACAAUGGAUCUCUAGGCUCUU
rnacentral:misc_RNA from 1 species